rnacentral:lncRNA from 1 species
CAACCACAAAAAACCCUCUUCAACAAUAGCUUUUACUUAACUUAGCCUACAUUGCCUUCAUUGCGCAGCACAUGCCGCGAAAGCUACCUCGUCGUCCUCACCAACGAUUGGGUUCGGUCAUUAGCUUGCUUCUAUUCCAUCCAAUAGUUGCCCGUUUGCUUCUAUUCCAUCCAAGGGUUGGCCUUUAGCACCAGUAGUGCGAUUGCCCUUCUUAGCUUUCACUCUCUCAAAGGCAGGGGAAUCGGCAUUCCUACUUGUCAGACAUUUUUUUAGAAUUUAACUCUAUCGUUCUUCUCAUUCGCUCUGCACAAACA